CAUCCCAGCUCACGGCUGCGCAGAGCCCUUUGCGUGAACCGCUUGCCAGCUGGGUUUGCCUGUCCCAACAGCCCAGCCUCCCUCUUAGAGCCCAGCUCAAACUGCCGGAGAAUCCUGGUUUGAAUUCGAAGGCCAUGCCGAUCUCUGGCAGUUGCUGGUCACAGCAGGAGGUAACAAACAGCCAAAAGCCACUGGAAACAAACUUGCAAGAUGCAAAGUUAGACUCAUAUGGGAUCUGAUCCUACAACUGAAUUUUGCCAGGCAGACCCUUGCAUCUGCCUGGAUCUGACGGCAGGAUUGGGCCUAGGCUGUGUACAAUUUUCAGAUGUCAAAUGCCCCGCUUGGUUGCCAGUUUCGGCUCUGUCAGUCAUUUGAGAAACUAAUUGGAAAUGCAAUGAUCGUAUUUGAUUCUAUUUCUGGCUCUCCCCUUUUGCGGUCCUUACAGCCCCAAUCUGACCUUUCUUCUGAGAAAAUAAUGAAUAGGGUCUGAGGCUUUUAAAAAAAAGAAACGAUCUUUCCUAGUGACUAACUUGAAAUUGGAGUUCAUAAGAUAUACAAAGAGUUGGAAAUGAAAGUGAAUAUGUGUAAGAGUUAA